CGGAAAACUGAGAUCCCAGAGGAAGCCAGUGUCUGAAAAGGAUCGAAACUCAGGAAUCCCUGGCUCCAGCUGGACACGUCGGCUGCCUCUGGCUGAAGUUAGGGCAGGGAGUGUGAGGGGGCUCUCCAGACCCCUGCCUCCCCGGGAGGCACCCCUGAGAGCUGGGGGGACAGGCAGGGAGAAACCUGCAAUGGGGACGGUUACGCUCCAGUGACAGCGGGAGGAGUGUCGGCUAGACCCAGAGAAGAACCUUAGCCCUUGUGGCUGAGACCCACUUAAUUUUCCUGGAUCCCCCGAUUCCCCUCUGCCUUAUUACAGUCAGGUGCUCCCAAGUGUCCUCCUUCCUUAUCUGGCCCAGAUUGGUCAACUGGGGUCUCCCGGGAAGUCCUGCUGGACAUCUCUUGGAGGACCUGCCUCCCAGGGCAGCGACUCAUCUUUCCCCACAUACUCUCCUCCUCCCAGGGUCCCCAUCUAGUAAACAACCUUCAUGACCCAUUCUGUGGCUUAAGCCACAGACUAGCACACAUCCCCCUACCCCACACCCCAAUCCCUCCACCUUCUGCCCCCUCCUCCCCUGCUUCAUCUUCCUUGUGGUGGGCUCCUGUGUUGUUUGCCCCUCUGACCGUGCCUUCAGGGGACGUGGCCCAGAACUUUCCAUUAUUAGGUGUGCUGCUGGCUCCUACCAUCUCCAUCUCCAGCUGCCUCACCUCCCCAACCCUACCCGUGGCCCCCUCUAGACUUUCCUGACUGCGCUUUUGAGGAGUUCUUUUCGAUACUUGGAAUUCCCUUCCCUAGAGUCCGCAGAUCCCUUCAGGAAGCCUUCAGCUAGAAGUGAUGCCAUCUUCCUAUGCAGCCCCCAGCUACCAACUGGGGCUCAAAGGGGUCACUGAGCACUUUUGUCCCUACUAUACAGGUGUCUGAUACCAUGCCUACGUUCCUGCUAGUCUGGCACUCAGGAAAUCCCUGCAGGAUGGAGCUGGUCCAAAUCCUCCCUGAGCCACCCUGAGCAGGCACCAUGGCUUGUGACCUGCAUAGAACUGCAGUCUCCUUCCUGGGGUCGGGGUCCCACUGCCUGGGGCCGGUUGGGAAUGGAACAUCAGGAAGCUGGCCAGCAAUUCUAUUCUACUUUAUUCACACUCCAGCCCCACCCCGUACGCAAAAGUCCGUUCAUCCCGGCCAAAAACCAAGACCAGAUUGUCGAUAACCACUACUGACUCUCAACUGCGAAACCAGCUUGUGAAUUUUCAGAAUUGAAAAAUUGGCCGGAAAUUUGAACAGAAUUCCAUUGAAUAGAUUUGGAGGAAUUACCAUCUUAAUAACUUUCAAUCAUGAAUACACUAUGUCCAUCCAUUUAUCUAAUCUUUUAUUUUUAUCUCUAGUGUUUUAUAGUUUUGAUUGCUAUGUUUAUUAUAAUUCAGAUCAUAACAUUUUAAAGUUUCCAGUGUGCUUUCUUCUGUGAAUUAUGAAUUAUUUAGAAAUACAUUACUUAAUUUAUAAAUAUCUGGGGAUUUUUAGGUUAACUUUGAUUUUUAGUUUGGUUAUUCUUUGAUCAGAGAAUGUAUUCUCAGUGAGUUCAAUCCAAUGAAAUUUGCUGAAGCUUCCUUUAGGCUCAGGAUGUGGUCUAUCUUGGUAAACAGCCCAUAAUUACUUGGAAAUAAUGUUUGAAAAGGUUGUUUAGUGUAGCAUGGCACCUAAAUUAAGUUGAUUAAUUAUGUUAUGCAGAGCUCCUGUAUCUUUAACUUUUUGGGUUUUGCCCUGUUCAGUCAGUUACUGAAAGAGAUAUGUUAAAAUUCUAUCUGCAAUUUGGAUUUGUAAAUUUUCUCUUUAGUUUUGUUAAUUUUUGCUUUAUGUAAUUUAAAUAUACAUUAUCAUGUAUUUAUGUAUUUAUUUUUCUAUGAGUUAAUGAAGUGCUUUUUUCCUUUUUAAUAGAUUAAUCAAGUAUUAUAAUUACGUUUUUUCUUCUAUUAAUGUGGAAGGUUGCAAAGAUAGCCACCUUUAUUUCAUUCUGUAUUCAUGCCCUUUACAAUGUGAUUGGCAACUCUUCCUUUCAUGUAUUCUGGAGGAAUAUUUUUGGGGGCAUGUGAAUUUAAGGUUGUUAUAACUUCCUGUUAAAUUGACCUUUUUAGCUGUAUGUAAUACUUGCGUUUUUUGUUUUGUUUUGUUUUUAAGUAAGCUGCAUGCCAAACAUGGGGCUUGAACUCACAACCCUGAGAUUAAAAGUCACAUGCUCUACCAACUGAGCCAGCCAGGUGCCCCUGUAUGUAAUACUUAUAACUUUUAUCUCUUGUAAUACAUCUUAACAUAAAGUCUAUUUGGUCUGACAUUAUUAUAGCCACACCAACUUUUUCUGUUGGCUAGUAGGUGAGUAGGUGUUGGUCUAUCUCUUAUCCAUUUUCUUCCAACUUACAAUCAAUUCUCUACUUCAACAUAUGCAUUGCUAAAAGUCACCAGACUACACAAAUCUCACAACAAAAACCACAAUGUAGAGGGGAAAUGAGACCAGGGGCAUAAUACUCAAAAACUUCAGCCAGACACAAUAAAAAAAGAAAAGGAGAUAGGAAUCUAGUAAAAAAUGGUAUCAGAGGUUCUACUUUUGGCAUAGCAACAUAAGGAGUCUGUAGACACUGGUGAAAAUUAUUGUAAAAUAAUAAUUAGGUCAAUAAAUAAAAAAAGACAAAAUCAGACAGGGAGACAAAUCUUAAGAGACUCUUAAUCAUAAGGAACAAACUGAGAGUCACUAGAGGGAAGGGGUAUGGGGAGAUAGGAUAACUGGGUGAUGGACAUUAAGGAGGGCAUGGGAUGUAAUGAGCACUGGGUAUUAUAUG